rnacentral:rRNA from 1 species
AUUGAACGCUGGCGGCAUGCUUUACACAUGCAAGUCGAACGGCAGCGCGGGCUUCGGCCUGGCGGCGAGUGGCGAACGGGUGAGUAAUGCAUCGGAACGUGCCCAGUAGUGGGGGAUAGCCCGGCGAAAGCCGGAUUAAUACCGCAUACGACCUGAGGGUGAAAGCGGGGGACCGAAAGGCCUCGCGCUAUUGGAGCGGCCGAUGUCGGAUUAGCUAGUUGGUGGGGUAAAGGCUUCCCAAGGCGACGAUCCGUCGCUGGUCUGAGAGGACGACCAGCCACACUGGGACUGAGACACGGCCCAGACUCCUACGGGAGGCAGCAGUGGGGAAUUUUGGACAAUGGGGGCAACCCUGAUCCAGCCAUGCCGCGUGCGGGAAGAAGGCCUUCGGGUUGUAAACCGCUUUUGUUCGGGAAGAAAUCCUCUGGGCUAAUACCCCGGGGGGAUGACGGUACCGGAAGAAUAAGCACCGGCUAACUACGUG